rnacentral:rRNA from 1 species
UGAAUGACCCUCGACGACGGAUAUCUUGGCUCUUGCAUCGAUGAAGAACGCAGCGAAAUGCGAUACGUUGUGUGAAUUGCAGAAUCCCGUGAACCAUUGAAUUUUUGAACGCAAGUUGCGCCCAAUGCCAUUUAUUGGCUGAGGGCAUGCCUGCCUGGGUGUCAUUCA